UGCCACUUACAAACUAUUCUGGACAAACAAUCUGGAAAUUGUGAAGACAGAUAAUGUGAACAAUUAAAGAAGUGGCUUGCAUAAGGGACUGGCUGCCAUCACCAAGGUUGGCCAGGUCUACCCCUCGGUCAAGCUAGCAGUUUGCGAGGCUGGGCCAAACCCCCGAAAGAAGACGAGAUACCUUUACAGGGUACGUGCCACAAGAUUUAGAGCUCACCGAGAACCUAAAGUAGCUGUGCACGCAAGGCACUAUCCGAUCGGGGCGCGUAUAACGAUCGGAGGCAAAAUAGACGUAGUCGUCAUCCAAGAGGCAUGAAUUGUUGGUAACAACAUCUGUGGCUUAUCAACACCACUAUACAAGCUACUUUAUACCAAGCUUCAGCGAAGGCGUUCUUACCACGGUCAGAUUGGAGUUCAUAAGUAGUGCCUUUCCACAGAGAUCCAUCUACCACCGGUUGAACGUAUGGUCAGUUACAAAAAUUUUCCAGUAGUUUCUCAUCUUAAUUUGACGGACUUUGUUAUGCGAUAGAUUGGAAUCUUCUUCCUGACAAUUGAAAGUAAAACAUUUACAACGAAAAGCUUAGCAAGAGGAAUGAACAAAAAAUGCUGCUUAUAUUUGUAAUAA